AUGACAACAGUAGAAAGUGAAACCCUCUGUUUGUCUGCAGAAUUGGUAUAGAGGAGUAUUGGCGAUGCAAGUUUUUCCCCAUAACCCCAUCUGUGUUCUGCAGCUGUAACCUUGAGGGAUCACCUUUAGGAACAAGAAGAUGACUUGGUCUCCUUACUCUUUUUCUCCUUAGCCCGU
ensembl:misc_RNA